UCAGCUUUGAAUAUUAGGAUGAAUUGUUUUGCUGUGAUGAGAUGACAAGUACUACUAAUCCAAAUGAACAUGGGAGUGCACCAUACUUAAGGAUGAAAGAUUCUUGUCCUAGUGUCGGUGGGAAGGCUAUUUCUUGUCACCACUAAUUCCAGUCAUCUGGGGAACCCAUAACAACUCACGUUAACUUUUUCAAGGAAGCAGCACUAAAC
rnacentral:sRNA from 1 species